rnacentral:rRNA from 1 species
GAUUAAGUUAUUAAGGGCGCACGGUGGAUGCCUUGGCACUAGAAGCCGAUGAAGGACGUUACUAACGACGAUAUGCUUUGGGUAGCUGUAAGUAAGCGUUAAUCCAGAGAUUUCCGAAUGGGGGAACCCAGCAUGAGUUAUGUCAUGUUAUCGACAUGUGAAUUCAUAGCAUGUCAGAAGGCAGACCCGGAGAACUGAAACAUCUUAGUACCCGGAGGAAGAGAAAGAAAAAUCGAUUCCCUGAGUAGCGGCGAGCGAAACGGGAAGAGCCCAAACCAACAAGCUUGCUUGUUGGGGUUGUAGGACACUCUAUACGGAGUUACAAAAGAACAUGUUAGACGAAUCAUCUGGAAAGAUGAAUCAAAGAAGGUAAUAAUCCUGUAGUCGAAAACAUAUUCUCUCUUGAGUGGAUCCUGAGUACGACGGAGCACGUGAAAUUCCGUCGGAAUCUGGGAGGACCAUCUCCUAAGGCUAAAUACUCUCUAGUGACCGAUAGUGAACCAGUACCGUGAGGGAAAGGUGAAAAGUACCCCGGAAGGGGAGUGAAAGAGAACUUGAAACCGUGUGCUUACAAGUAGUCAGAGCCCGUUAAUGGGUGAUGGCGUGCCUUUUGUAGAAUGAACCGGCGAGUUACGAUCUGAUGCAAGGUUAAGCAGCAAAUGUGGAGCCGCAGCGAAAGCGAGUCUGAAUAGGGCGUUGAGUAUUUGGUCGUAGACCCGAAACCAGGUGAUCUACCCUUGGUCAGGUUGAAGUUCA